rnacentral:rRNA from 1 species
CGGGGCUUAAAGUCUUGUAAUUGGAAUGAUGGGAAUUUAAACCUCUUCCAGAGUAUCAAUUGGAGGGCAAGUCUGGUGCCAGCAGCCGCGGUAAUUCCAGCUCCAAUAGCGUAUAUUAAAAUUGUUGCAGUUAAAAAGCUCGUAGUUGAAUUUCUGCUGCAUUGCUUGUGUCCCUCUGGGGUCUGUGCAUGUGGCUUUUUUCGGACGGAGUUUCUUUGUCUGAAUGUUUACUUUGAGAAAAUUAGAGUGCUCAAAGCAGGUUUUCGCCUUGAAUAGUUUAGCAUGGAAUAAUAAAGUAGGACUUUGGUUCUAUUUUGUUGGUUUUAGGUACCAAAGUAAUGGUUAAUAGGAACAGUUGGGGGCAUUCGUAUUUAACUGUCAGAGGUGAAAUUCUUAGAUUUGUUAAAGACGAACUACUGCGAAAGCAUUUGCCAAGGAUGUUUUCAUUAAUCAAGAAC